rfam:Triticum aestivum genome assembly, contig: Triticum_aestivum_CS42_TGACv1_scaffold_442532_5DL
CAAGUACUCCCUCCGUCCGGAAUUACUUGUCAUCAAAAUGGAUGUGUCUAGAACUAAAAUACAUCUAGAUACAUCCAUUUCAAUGACAAGUAUUUUCAGACGGAGGGAGUACAAG